UACGUAGGGUGCAAGCGUUGUCCGGAAUUAUUGGGCGUAAAGGGCUCGUAGGUGGCCAACUAAGUCAGACGUGAAAUCCCUCGGCUUAACCGGGGAACUGCGUCUGAUACUGGAUGGCUUGAGUUUGGGAGAGGGAUGCGGAAUUCCAGGUGUAGCGGUGAAAUGCGUAGAUAUCUGGAGGAACACCGGUGGCGAAGGCGGCAUCCUGGACCAACACUGACGCUGAGGAGCGAAAGCCAGGGGAGCAAACGGG
rnacentral:rRNA from 1 species